GAUGAACGCUGGCGGCGUGCUUAACACAUGCAAGUCGAACGAAGCAUAGUGGAAUGAGAUCUUCGGAUUGAAAGAAAUUAUGACUUAGUGGCGGACGGGUGAGUAACGUGUGGGUAACCUGCCUUAUACAGGGGGAUAACAGGUAGAAAUAUCUGCUAAUACCGCAUAAGACCCCGGCAUCGCAUGAUGCAGAGGUAAAAGAUUUAUCAGUAUAAGAUGGACCCGCAUCUGAUUAGGUAGUUGGUGGGAUAAAAGCUCACCAAGCCGACGAUCAGUAGCCGACCUGAGAGGGUGAUCGGCCACAUUGGGACUGAGACACGGCCCAAACUCCUACGGGAGGCAGCAGUGGGGAAUAUUGGACAAUGGGGGGAACCCUGAUCCAGCGACGCCGCGUGAGUGGAGAAGUAUUUCGGUAUGUAAAGCUCUAUCAGUAGGGAAGAAAAUGACGGUGCCUAACUAAGAAGCCCCGGCUAACUACGUGCCAGCAGCCGCGGUAAUACGUAGGGGGCAAGCGUUAUCCGGAUUUACUGGGUGUAAAGGGAGCGCAGACGGCAUAGCAAGUCUGAAGUGAAAGCCCGUGGCUCAACUACGGGACUGCUUUGGAAACUGUUAAGCUAGAGUGUCGGAGAGGCAAGUGGAAUUCCCAGUGUAGCGGUGAAAUGCGUAGAUAUUGGGAGGAACACCGGUGGCGAAGGCGACUUGCUGGACGAUAACUGACGUUGAGGCUCGAAGGCGUGGGUAGCAAACAGGAUUAGAUACCCUGGUAGUCCACGCAGUAAACGAUGAAUACUAGGUGUCGGGUUUCAGAAGAGACUCGGUGCCGUCGCAAACGCAGUAAGUAUUCCACCUGGGGAGUACGUUCGCAAGAAUGAAACUCAAAGGAAUUGACGGGGACCCGCACAAGCGGUGGAGCAUGUGGUUUAAUUCGAAGCAACGCGAAGAACCUUACCAAGUCUUGACAUACCAUUGACGCAGGGGUAAAGCCCUGUUCUCUACGGAGCAAUGGAUACAGGUGGUGCAUGGUUGUCGUCAGCUCGUGUCGUGAGAUGUUGGGUUAAGUCCCGCAACGAGCGCAACCCCUGUCCUUAGUAGCCAGCAGUAAGAUGGGCACUCUAGGGAGACUGUCCGGGACAACCGGGAGGAAGGUGGGGAUGACGUCAAAUCAUCAUGCCCCUUAUGAUUUGGGCUACACACGUGCUACAAUGGCGUAAACAAAGAGAGGCGAGACUGUGAAGUGGAGCAAAUCUCAAAAAUAAACGUCUCAGUUCGGAUUGUAGGCUGCAAACCCGCCUACAUGAAAGCUGGAAUCGCUAGUAAUCGCAGAUCAGAAAUGCUGCGGUGAAUACGUUCCCGGGUUC
rnacentral:rRNA from 1 species